CAAGUUAGAAAACAUCUGGGCCCAAGCCUGUCGAGCGCCGCCCGUACGCCGCACCCGCAGCUACGCACUCGAGGCCGAGCUCCCGAGCGCGCCGCCGCCUCCACUUUGCGACCCGCCGGCGACCGGAUCCUCGCCGGAGAUGAGUGCCGCCGUGCCCUGCUCCCUCCUCUCUUCCUCUGUCUCCUCUCACCUCGCUCAUCCCCCGAUCUCUCUGUCCCCAGGACGAACAGGAGCAUGCUAUGGCCUCGGAUCCGCGCCGCCGUCGUCGGAGAACGUCGUCCGCCACCGGUUCUUCGACCACAACUACCGGAUCAAGUUGCCCCGCCUCCGAUCUACCCGUUCCCGGCCACCCCAACCUCGCCUCGUCGUCGGGCGCGCAGAGAGACGGCCAUGGCCGCCCGAUUCCCGAGCGCCGCCUGCCAAGGUGGCUGCCCGAUGCACGAGCGCCGCCGGCCAAGGACCCGCCGGCGUCCAGACCCCCUCCACGCCAUCCCCAUCUCGCCGGAGACCUGCUCCAAGUCUGGCCGCCCUCCAAACAGUACGCGGAGACAGAGGCCAAGGAUGACAGGCAACUCUUGGAGGAGGACACCUCAAAUCAGUCUGGGAAGUUGUCGUCGUUUUCCUCGGGCAGCAAUGCAAAUUAUUGUAAUGAUACUUAUCAACGUUUUUAUUUGGUUGUGCAGUACUCGCUAGGUGCUUGACGAAAUUCCCAUAUGAUGCAUGUGGCAAGGUUCCUAGAGGAUAAUGUAGAUUAAUGAUUCCAUGGAGAGCUCCCAGAAUCUUCAAUUGGAGGCAAUUAAAGACGGACCUCACCGGAUUGGAUUUGUCUAGCAUUCCAGCUAAGUUUCAAGGUAGCUUUAGGACUCCAUCCAAACAAUCACUGAUUAGUGGGUAGUAGGCAUGCAGUUUCAGUUAAACCGAAGCUUAAUCCACAUACAUUGUUCACUGGAGGUAUCCGUGCCAUUACACUCAUCCCUCUGUUAUGAGGCCUGGGAUAAUGUUUACUUGUGAUUCACAAAAUGGAAGUAUGUGCUAUAUCUUUGUAUGAAAUUAAGGAAACAUGUCACGUUCAUUGUCGCCUGGUUUAUGGUAACUGGUGUUGCCCCCUCCCUUGGAAUCUCUCAGAUCUAUGGCAUAGCCAGUUCUCCAUCCCGCAGUUUUCGCAUGUUGCAACGCAGUGGCUCUUUUGUAGGACCAUUGUCGACAUAGACAAGUUCUGCUUCAAGGACGAGACAUAGAAGAAGGCUCGACAAGAGGAAGGAAGCAGGUGUGGUUUAGCAACGUACCUCAUACAUGUUUGGUUGCUGACAAAGGAGGGCAGAAUUGGUGUGACGCCCCGAGACCGAUGUGCCAGCUUGCAGGUGCCGAUGAUGCCAUUCCAGGUGACGCAACCAAGCUCAAGGAGGAGCUCGAUGAAGACCUUGUCCUUUGUGUUGU